AAACGACUCUCGACAACGGAUAUCUCGGCUCUCGCAUCGAUGAAGAACGUAGCGAAAUGCGAUACUUGGUGUGAAUUGCAGAAUCCCGUGAACCAUCGAGUCUUUGAACGCAAGUUGCGCCCAAAGCCAUUAGGCUGAGGGCACGUCUGCCUGGGCGUCACG
rnacentral:rRNA from 1 species